GCGCACGGCGCGGGGGCUGCGAACAAAGGGCCCCCGGCGGCGCAGGGGGCACCGCGGCGCUCGGACCCCGGCCCUGGCCCAGCCCCGGCCCGGCCCCCUCCCUGGGCGCGGCGCCCCCGCGGAGCCGAAAAAUGUGGGGCGCCCUGCUCGGCCCGCUGCUGUGGCUCCGGCUUCUGCUGCUGUCGCCGCGGGACGGAGUGUGCGCCGCGCCCCAGGCCCCGGGCUAUUUGAUUGCUGCACCCUCUGUCUUCCGCUCGGGAGUGGAGGAAGUCAUCAGUGUGACCAUCUUUAACUCCCCAAGGGAUGUCAUGGUCCAGGCUCAGCUGGUGGCCCAGGGCGAGGCGGUGGCACGGAGCCAGGGAGCCAUCCUGGAUAAAGGAACAAUCAAACUCAAGGUGCCCACGGGCCUCCAGGGCCAGGCCCUCCUGCAGGUGUGGGGCCGCGGCCGGCGGGCAGAGGAGGGCCCCCUCUUCCACAACCAGACCUCCGUGACUGUGGACGGCCGGGGCGUCUCCGUGUUCAUCCAGACGGACAAGCCAGUGUACAAGCCCCAGCACCGAGUGCUUAUAAGCAUCUUCACUGUCACCCCAAACCUGAGGCCUGUCAGCAGGAAGCUGGAAGCCUACAUUCUGGACCCCAGGGGCUCGAGGAUGAUGGAGUGGAGACACUUGGAGCCACUCUGCUGCGGCGUCGCCAACAUGACCUUCCCCCUGUCCGACCAGCCGGUGCUGGGAGAAUGGUUCAUUUUUGUCGAAAUGCAAGGCCACGUGUACAACAAGUCCUUCGAAGUUCAGAAGUAUGUGUUGCCGAAAUUUGAGCUCCUUAUUGACCCGCCCCAGUAUAUCCGGGACCUGGACACAUGCGAGAAGGGCACCGUGAGGGCCAGAUAUACCUUUGGGAAACCUGUCUCGGGGACCUUGACGAUCAAUAUGACUGUAAAUGGCGUGGGGUACUACAGCCAGGAGGUGGGGCGCCCCGUCCUCAGAACCACGAAAAUCCACGGCUCCCAGGACUUCGACAUCUGCGUGAAGGACAUGAUCCCAGCCGAUGUCCCCGAGCACUUCCGGGGCACCGUCAGCAUCUGGGCCACGGUGGUCAGUGUGGACGGGAGCCAGCAGGUGGCCUUUGAUGAUUCCACUCCUGUCCAGAGGCAGCUGGUGGACGUCCGCUACUCCAAGGACACCAGGAAGCAGUUCAAGCCUGGCCUGUCCUACGUGGGGAAGGUGGAGCUGUCCUACCCAGACGGCAGCCCGGCCGAGGGGGUGACGGUCCAGAUCAGGGCAGAGCUGACCUCGAAGGACAACAUCUACACCACUGAAUCUGUGUCCCGGGGAGGGCUGGUGGGGUUUGAAAUCCCCUUCAUCCCCAUGUCGGCCCAACACGUGUGGCUGGAGACCAAGGUGACGGCACUCAAUGGAAAGCCCGUGGGGGCCCAGUACCUGCCCAGCUACCUCUCUCUCAGCAGCUGGUACUCCCCCAGCCAGUGCCACCUGCAGCUGCAGCCCCCCGCCCGCCCCCUGCAGGUCGGAGAGGAAGCGCUUUUCCCGGUGAAGUCCACGUGCCCUUGCAGCUUCACCCUGUACUACGAGGUGGCCGCGCGGGGCAACAUCGUGCUCUCGGGCCGGCAGCCCGCCCACCUCACCCAGCGGAGAAGCCGGCGGGCGGCCCCGGAGAAACCGAUUCGCUUAAUGCACCUUCUUGAGACGGAGCCCCCUCCAGCCCCAGCAGCUGAGGUCAACGUGUGUGUGACUUCUCUCCGGCUGGCCGUGACCCCCAGCAUGGCCCCCCUUGGCCGCCUGCUGGUCUUCUACGUCAGGGAGAACGGAGAAGGCGUCGCCGACAGCCUCCAGUUUGCUGUGGAGAGCUUCUUUGAGAACCAGGUUUCAGUGACGUACUCAGCAAAUGAGACCCAGCCUGGGGAGGUUGUUGACCUGCGGGUCAGGGCUGCAAGGGGCAGCUGUGUGUGUGUCACUGCGGUGGAUAAGAGCGUCUACCUGCUCAGGUCUGGGUUUCAGCUGACUCCGGCCCAGGUUUUCCGGGAAUUGGAAGAGUAUGAUGUUUCUGAUGCCUUCGGGGUGUCCCGGGAGGAUGGGUCCUUCUGGUGGGCUGGACUGGCAGCCCGACGCAGGCGUUCGUCCAUCUUCCCGUGGCCCUGGGGCGUCACCAAGGACUCCGGAUCUGCCUUCGCCGAAACGGGACUGGUGGUGAUGACCGACCUGGUGAGCCUGAACCACCGACAAAAUGGCGGCCUAUACACCGAUGAGGCUGUCCCUGCCUUCCAGCCCCACACGGGGAGCCUGGUGGCAGCAGGGUCCUCCAGACAACCCCCCAGAGCAGAGAAGAGGAAAAGGACCUUCUUCCCCGAAACAUGGAUUUGGCAUUGUCUCAACAUCAGCGACCCGUCCGGCGAGGAGAUGCUCAGCGUGCGGGUCCCGGACUCCAUCACCAGCUGGGUGGGUGAGGCCGUGGGUCUGUCCGAGGCCUGGGGCCUGGGUGUCGCCGUGCCUGCCCUGCUGAAGACCUUCAAGCCUUUCUUUGUGGACUUCACCCUGCCCGCCUACGUGGUCCGCGGGGAGCAAGCCAAGAUCCCGCUCAGCGUCUACAACUACAUGGGCACCUGUGCCGAGGUCUACGUGAAGAUCUCAGUUCCCAAGGGCAUCCGCUUUGUGGGGCAUCCAGGCAGACGCCAUCUGACCAAGAAGAUGUGCGUGGCCUCUGGGGAGACGGAACCCACCUGGGUGGUUCUGUCCUUCGGUGACCUGGGACUCAGCAACGUCACAGCCAAAGCCAUGGCUUACGGAGACACAAGCUGCUGCCGGGAUGGGAAGUCCAUCCGACACCUGGAGGACCACUUCGCUGACAGGAGGGGCCCCACUGGGAGGGAUCACAUCAGGCGCAGUGUCAUGGUUGAGCCGGAAGGAGCCCCCCGCAGCUACACCUACAGUGCUUUCUUCUGUCCCAACGAGAGAGUCCACAUCUCCACGCCCAACAAGUACGAGUUCCAGUACGUGCAGCGGCCGCUGUGGCUCACCCGUUUUGAUGUGGCCGUGCGAGCCCACAAUGAUGCCCGCGUGGCCUUGUCCGCCGGACCCCAGGACACAGCGGGCAUGAUAGAGAUUGUCCUGGGGGGGCACCAGAACACCAGGUCCUGGAUCUCCACCAGCAAGAUGGGCGACCCCGUGGCCAGCACGUACACGGCCAAGAUCCUGUCCUGGGAUGAAUUCAGAACGUUUUGGAUCAGCUGGCAUGGCGGGUUCAUCCAGGUUGGCCAUGGCCCAGAGCCUUCCAAUGAGUCUGUCAUCAUGGCCUGGACCCUCCCCAGGCCACCGGAGGUCCGAUUCAUCGGCUUCUCCACUGGCUGGGGCUCCAUGGGUGAGUUCCGCAUCUGGAAGAAGGUGGAGGUGGACGAGAGCUACAGUGAGGCCUUUACCCUGGGAGUCCCGCACAGCGCCAUCCCUGGGUCAGAGCGGGCAGCAGCCUCUGUCAUAGGAGACGUCAUGGGGCCGACCCUGAACCACCUCAGCAGCCUCCUGCGGCUGCCCUUCGGCUGUGGCGAGCAAAACAUGAUCCACUUUGCGCCCAACAUCUUUGUCCUCAAGUAUCUUCAGAAAACCCGGCAGCUCAGCCCGGAGGUGGAGCGGGAGACCACUGACUACCUGGUACAAGGCUACCAGCGGCAGCUGACCUACAGGCACCGGGACGGCUCCUACAGCGCCUUCGGGGAUCGGGACGCAUCGGGGAGCAUGUGGCUCACGGCCUUUGUCCUGAAGUCCUUUGCCCAGGCACGAAGCUUCAUCUUCAUCGACCCGCAGGAGCUGGCGGCUGCCAAGGGCUGGAUCAUCCAGCAGCAGCGGGGGGAUGGCUCCUUCCCGGCCGUGGGCAGGAUCCUGAACAAGGACAUCCAGGGUGGGAUCCACGGCACAGUCCCGUUGACGGCUUAUGUGGUGGCUGCACUCCUGGAGACAGGCACUGCCUCGGAGGAGGAGAGGGGCGCCAUUGCCAGAGCGAGGCACUUCCUGGAGUCCAGUGUGCCCUUGGCCGCCGACCCCUACAGCAGCGCCCUGACCACCUACGCGCUGACCCUGCUCCGCAGCCCAGCAGCCCCUGCAGCGCUGCGAAAACUCCGCAGCCUGGCCAUCACGCAGAAUGGGGUCACCCACUGGAGCCUGACGGGUUCCCGGGACGUGGACAAGGAUGCAUUCCUGAGCUUCAGCGAUGGGGUCUCUCAGUCAGUGGUCUCAGCCGAGGUGGAAAUGACGGCCUAUGCCCUGCUGACCUACACCCUCCUGGGUGAUGUGGCCACGGCCCUGCCCGUGGUGAAGUGGCUGUCCCAGCAGCGGAACGCGCUCGGGGGCUUCUCCUCUACUCAGGACACUUGUGUGGCUCUUCAGGCCUUGGCAGACUAUGCUGUCUUGUCAUAUGCCGGCAGCGUCAACCUCACCGUCUCCCUGGCUUCCACCAACCUGGACUACCAGGAAACUUUCGAACUGCACGCGGCCAACCAGAAGCUUCUGCAGACCGCGGCGAUCCCCAGCCUCCCCACGGGGCUGUUCGUGAGCGCCAAGGGCGAAGGCUGCUGCCUGAUGCAGAUUGAUGUCACCUACAAUGUGCCAGACCCGGUGGCCAAACCAGCCUUCCAGCUGCUCGUGAGCCUCCGGGAGCCCGAGGCUGAGCAGCGGCGGACCCCCGCUCCCGCCUCCUCGGCCGAUGAUGACGACCCAGCAGCCGACCAGCAUCACCAGGAGUAUCAGGUGACCCUGGAGGUGUGCACCAGGUGGCUGCAUGCGGGGUCCUCCAAUAUGGCUGUCCUGGACGUGCCCUUGCUCUCAGGCUUCCGGGUGGACAUCGAGAGCCUAGAGCAGCUGCUCUCUGACAAGCAUUUCACGCUGAAGAGGUACGAGGUGGCUGGACGCAGAGUCCUCUUCUACUUUGAUGAGAUCCCCAGCCGGUGCCUGACCUGCGUGCGGUUCCGGGCGCUCCGUGAACAUGUAGUGGGCAGGACGUCCGCGCUGCCUGUCUCUGUGUACGACUACUACGAGCCUGCCUUUGAAGCCACGCGCUUCUACAAUGUCAGCGCGCGCAGUCCACUUGCCCAGGAGCUGUGCUCAGGGCCCGCGUGCAACGAGGUGGAGCGCGCCCCGGCUCAGGGCCCCGGCUGGUCCCUAGGCGAGCGGGGUCCUGCUGCCGCCCCAGAGGAGGGGGCGAAGAUUACGCGCUGUGGCUGCCCCCGCGACUGUACCGCCCGCGGGGACCCUGUCUGCGGCUCUGAUGGCAUCGUCUACACCAGCGCCUGCCACCUGCAGGAGGCCGCCUGCUUAAGCCGCGCGAGAUUGGAGCCCGCGCCCCCUGGCCACUGUGUCCUCGAGCAGCUGACACCAGCCUCUGUGUCAUACAGUUACGACUAUGACCCAGCCCCCUUGGAUGCUGGGCGUGUGGCAGCUGCUCAUGGCCAUGAAGUGAUAGACUUGGAGGGGGAGGCGGAGGACAGAGAUAACACAGAGACCUCUCAGGUGCCCUUCACCCAGUCCCGCCUGCGGUGACAUCCGGCAGAUGAGUCUGAAGACAGUGUCAUACCAGGAGACUGACGUCCAUACCUCCUGUGUUCAUAAGUCACCGCUUUGGCAAUUGAGCCUGUGCUAUUUCCCCGCACAUAGUCAGAGUGGCUUCUCUUCCUGACGCUCUGAGCAGGAGGACUUGAUCUGGCUGCGUGCUAUCACUGUCCGGUCGCUGGAAGGGGGCCACUGAUGGGAGAGCUCCCGUGACUCUCUGGUGGGCUGGCGGACCCCACCCCAGGUGACCCCAGCCUCCGAAUGAACCUGAUAAGCAGAACACAGAGACCUGCCUCCAUGGAUGACGGGCCUCCCCCCAGCCCUCCCUCAACCGGAGGGUCGGCCUCGAUCCCCCCACCUCCUCAGCUGCACCCCUCCUCAGGCCAGAGCAGCUCACGCUCCCCCAGAGGAGACGCUCCUCGGAAGGACCUGUGGCCAAAGGCCUGUGUUGGAGGAGACACGAUGACAUUUAGCCCAAAUCAGGGACACAAAAAACACCCAUCUCCUCAUCACCAACUUCGAAGUGAAACAGUCCGCCUUUCUCCGAAAUCGCAAAGCUGUGGCCUGCUUUGGGGCACCUGGGCCGCUGAGCCCCUGGACCUAGACCCCAAAUGGUCCCAUAACUGUUACAGUCCCCACACACACCCCCUGUCUCACCCCAGGGGUCCCUGAAUGUUCUGUCUUGACGGCCUGCCAGCCCCUGAGGGCAAGCCAAUGGCUCUGACCCAGGCACCUUCAGCUUCCUGCCUCCAGGGCUAGGUCGACUUCUCAUCUCGGGGCCUCACCACCGCCUACUCCCCCCACGCCCGGACUCCUGAUCGUGGGGACUGCCCUCUCCCAGCUCCACGACCAGACCUGCCUUCCCUGGGGGACCCUCCCAACUGUCAUCAGAUUCCUCUUUGUAACCCGCAGGGGAUGCCUUGUCUCUGUUUCCUCCUGCGCACUGUCUCCCCACCCCCUUGCGGUGGUAUUUAUUUCAGCCCACGCUGCUCAUCUCUGACCCCCACCAGGGACAGCACAGAGACCCUGAGGGUGCUGCCUGGCCAGUGGGUCCCCGUCUUGCAGCACCGGCCACUUCCCCUGCCCGUUCCUCCCACUCCCAGCCUACAAGGGACGGUUCCUGGGCCCUGGGCCCCUUUCCCGGUGGAGGCAGCUGGUGUAAUAAAAGCUCAUUUCCAGA